rnacentral:rRNA from 1 species
UGGUGAAUAUUGCACAAUGGGGGAAACCCUGAUGCAGCGACGCCUCGUGAACGAAGAAGGUAUUCGUAUCGUAAAGUUCUGUCCUAUGGGAAGAUAAUGACAGUACCAUAGAAGAAAGCUCCGGCUAAAUACGUGCCAGCAGCCGCGGUAAUACGUAUGGAGCGAGCGUUGUCCGGAAUUAUUGGGCGUAAAGGGUACGCAGGCGGUUUAAUAAGUCGAAUGUUAAAGAUCGGGGCUCAACCCCGUAAAGCAUUGGAAACUGAUAAACUUGAGUAGUGGAGAGGAAAGUGGAAUUCCUAGUGUAGUGGUGAAAUACGUAGAUAUUAGGAGGAAUACCAGUAGCGAAGGCGACUUUCUGGACACAAACUGACGCUAAGGUACGAAAGCGUGGGGAGCAAACAGG